UACGGAGGGUGCAAGCGUUGUCCGGAAUCACUGGGCGUAAAGCGCACGUAGGCGGCUUUGUAAGUUAGAGGUGAAAGCCCAGGGCUUAACCCUGGAAUUGCCUUUAAGACUGCAUCGCUAGAAUCGUGGAGAGGUGAGUGGAAUUCCGAGUGUAGAGGUGAAAUUCGUAGAUAUUCGGAAGAACACCAGUGGCGAAGGCGACUCACUGGACACGUAUUGACACUGAGGUGCGAAAGCGUGGGGAGCAAACAGG
rnacentral:rRNA from 1 species